AGUGAACGCUGGCGGUAGGCCUAACACAUGCAAGUCGAACGGCAGCACAGUAAGAGCUUGCUCUUACGGGUGGCGAGUGGCGGACGGGUGAGGAAUACAUCGGAAUCUACUUUUUCGUGGGGGAUAACGUAGGGAAACUUACGCUAAUACCGCAUACGACCUACGGGUGAAAGCAGGGGAUAUUCGGACCUUGCGCGAUUGAAUGAGCCGAUGUCGGAUUAGCUAGUUGGCGGGGUAAAGGCCCACCAAGGCGACGAUCCGUAGCUGGUCUGAGAGGAUGAUCAGCCACACUGGAACUGAGACACGGUCCAGACGCCUACGGGAGGCAGCAGUGUGGAAUAUUGGACAAUGGGCGCAAGCCUGAUCCAGCCAUACCGCGUGGGUGAAGAAGGCCUUCGGGUUGUAAAGCCCUCUUGUUGGGAAAGAAAAGCAGCAGGUUAAUACCCCGCUGUUCUGACGGUACCCAAAGAAUAAGCACCGGCUAACUUCGUG
rnacentral:rRNA from 1 species